rnacentral:sRNA from 1 species
UCUGUGUCUGGGGUCCGAGAUUUCCCAAGACUUGAAUAAGGGUCUCUCUCUUCGGGGAUCUUUCACCAUUUCACAGCAAUCCUCUUGUUUCAGCCUGAAAACCUGGGAUUAAAGGCGUGCACCACAGCCCUGCUCCAGUCUAAGACAACCUCAGGGUUUCCUCUCCGCGGCCAUGACACAGCUGCACCAGCAGGUGGCAGUGCGGAGUCGCAGGGUCUCAGGGUCUCACAGUGAAAUUCUGGCUGGACUGGAACUCAGAGAUCUGCCUCUACCUUCCAAGCGCUGGAAUUUAAAGAUGUACCCCACCACACCUAGCUCUGUGGCUUAGUUCCUUGUUUUGUUUCCACCCUGGGUUUCUCUGUUGAACAGCCCUAGUUAUUCUGGGACUCAUUCUAUAAGAUCAGGCUGGCCUCAAACUCACAGAUUCAACUGCCUCUGCCUCUAGAGUGCUGGAAUUAAAGGUGUGUCCCACCAUGCCUACCUUCAUGGACUAGUUCUUAAGAAUCCUCAAAGUGGGGACUGAAGAGCUGGCUCGGUGGUUAGGGCCACUAACUUCCCUUCCAGAAGUCCAGAGUUUGAUUCCAAGCAUCCACAUUGAGGCUCAACCAUCUGUACUGGGAUCCAAUGCCCUCUUCUGCUGUGUCCGACGGGAGCUACAGUUUACUCACAUACAUAAAAUACAUAAAUAAAAAUACCUGUAGAGAGGCCACUGAGGGAAGACACAGGUGGUCAGAUCUUCAA